CAGUAGCCGCGGGAAUACGGAGGGAGCUAGCGUUGUUCGGAAUUACUGGGCGUAAAGCGCACGUAGGCGGCUUUGUAAGUUAGAGGUGAAAGCCUGGAGCUCAACUCCAGAAUUGCCUUUAAGACUGCAUCGCUUGAAUCCGGGAGAGGUGAGUGGAAUUCCGAGUGUAGAGGUGAAAUUCGUAGAUAUUCGGAAGAACACCAGUGGCGAAGGCGGCUCACUGGACCGGCAUUGACGCUGAGGUGCGAAAGCGUGGGGAGCAAACAGGAUUAGAUACCCCCGUAGUCCCUGUCUCUUAUAC
rnacentral:rRNA from 1 species